GAUGAACGCUAGCGGCAGGCUUAAUACAUGCAAGUCGAGGGGCAGCAUGAGUAGCAAUACUUGAUCGGCGACCGGCAAACGGGUGCGGAACACGUACGCAACCUUCCUUUAAGUGGAGCAUAGCCCGGGGAAACCCGGAUUAAUACUCCGUAAUAUUGUGAAGUGGCAUCACUUUACAAUUAUAGAUUUAUCGCUUAAAGAUGGGCGUGCGCCUGAUUAGGCAGUUGGCGGGGUAAUGGCCCACCAAACCUACGAUCAGUAACUGGCGUGAGAGCGCGACCAGUCACACGGGCACUGAGACACGGGCCCGACUCCUACGGGAGGCAGCAGUAAGGAAUAUUGGUCAAUGGACGCAAGUCUGAACCAGCCAUGCCGCGUGGAGGAUGAAGGUCCUCUGGAUUGUAAACUUCUUUUAUUUGGGACGAAAAAAGGCCUUUCUAGGUCGUCUGACGGUACCAGAUGAAUAAGCACCGGCUAACUCCGUG
rnacentral:rRNA from 1 species